rnacentral:tRNA from 1 species
GGGGAUUUAGCUCAGUGGCAGAGCACUUGCCUAGCAAGCACAAGGCCCUGGGUUCGAUCCCCAGCUCCG